rnacentral:rRNA from 1 species
GACCUAGCGGCGGACGGGUGAGUAAUGCUUAGGAAUCUGCCUAUUAGUGGGGGACAACAUUCCGAAAGGAAUGCUAAUACCGCAUACGUCCUACGGGAGAAAGCAGGGGACCUUCGGGCCUUGCGCUAUCAGAUGAGCCUAGGUCGGAUUAGCUAGUUGGUGAGGUAAUGGCUCACCAAGGCGACGAUCCGUAACUGGUCUGAGAGGAUGAUCAGUCACACUGGAACUGAGACACGGUCCAG